rnacentral:sRNA from 1 species
AGUCGUCGCGGUACUCCUCCCAUUUUGCCGCGAUGGCUGUUCCCCUCUGGAGGUUUUUUAACCUUCACAAUUCAGGCCGGGCUUUUUAGUCCGGCUCUUUUU